UCCCUCGUCACCUUCCCUGGUAAAGACUCCUCUCCCUCGUCACCUUCCCUGGUAAAGACUCAUCUCUUGCGAAGUAGAAAACAUGAAAAAAAUACUUGUCUUGCAUCCUAUUCCCUCUGUAGUGCACUACAUUUUGACCAGGGCCCAGAGGUAGUGCACUACGUUUUGACCAGGGCCCAGAGGUAGUGCACUACGUUUUGACCAGGGCCCAGAGGUACUGCACUACGUUUUGACCAGGGCCCAGAGGUAGUGCACUACGUUUUGACCAGGGCCCAGAGGUAGUGCACUACAUUUUGACCAGGGCCCAGAGGUACUGCACUACGUUUUGACCAGGGCUCAGAGGUACUGCACUACGUUUUGACCAGGGCCCAGAGGUACUGCACUACGUUUUGACCAGGGCCCAGAGGUACUGCACUACGUUUUGACCAGGCCCAGAGGUAGUGCACUACGUUUUGACCGGGGCCCAGAGGUAGUGCACUACGUUUUGACCAGGGCCCAGAGGUAGUGCACUACGUUUUGACCAGGGCCCAGAGGUACUGCACUACGUUUUGACCAGGGCCCAGAGGGUGCCAUUUGGGAUGCACCCUUGUCAAAAACACUGUUCCCUGAGCAUGGAAGGUUAUUAACUUGGAUAACAUCCAGAUUCCUUGUAAGUCUCUCUGGCUACUACAGAAAACUAAAAUCCCAUUUGGAAAACAAAGCAACGAGAAGACAGACAAAUAUCUAGUAUCUACCCAAACAUCCGGUAAGUAUUCAGUAUUUACAAAUAUACAACAAUGGUGGUCUUAACGUUUAAGAUGAGGGAGAACGAUAUUUUUUUUAAAUUAGCCUUAUUCCUAUUACAGUACAUCAGACGACUGUCAUUCAUAUUCUAUUGACCCAGCUCAAUGUAACAUCGAUUGAGUUAGGCUACUACACGAUACUCUAAUUUUCCCUAUACCCAUCAUGAGGUUAUUACCGUACAACCCAGCCUAUAAAUCAAAGUUUACAACGUAGGUGCUGCACACAGGUCAAGAGAAACAUUUGACUAAUCAAGGUGACAGAUAGUGACACAUUCAAUACCUCCUCGCAUACCUCCUUCCCUGCAUCUAGCUGAUCUAGGGUCAUAACAGUUGGGGGUCAAGGUUCAGUCUAGGGUCAUAACAGUUGGGGGUCAAGGUUCAGUCCAGGGUCAUAACAGUUGGGGGUCAAGGUUCAGUCUAGGGUCAUAACAGUUGGGGGUCUAGGUUCAGUCUAGGGUCAUAACAGUUGGGGGUCAAGGUUCAGUCUAGGGUCAUAACAGUUGGGGGUCAAGGUUCAGUCUAGGGUCAUAACAGAUGGGGGUCUAGGUUCAGUCUAGGGUCAUAACAGUUGGGGGUCAAGGUUCAGUCUAGGGUCAUAACAGUUGGGGGUCUAGGUUCAGUCUAGGGUCAUAACAGAUGGGGGUCUAGGUUCAGUCUAGGGUCAUAACAGUUGGGGGUCUAGGUUCAGUCUAGGGUCAUAACAGAUGGGGGUCAAGGUUCAGUCUAGGGUCAUAACAGAUGGGAGUCUAGGUUCAUACUAGGGUCAUAACAGAUGGGGGUCUCGGUUCAGUCUAGUGUGUAUAACAGAUGGGGUCUAGGUUCAGUCUAGGGUGUAUAACAGAUGGGAGUCUAGGUUCAGUCUAGGGUCAUAACAGAUGGGA